CCUACGGGAGGCAGCAGUGGGGAAUAUUGCGCAAUGGGCGAAAGCCUGACGCAGCGACGCAGCGUGAGGGAUGAAGGCCUUCGGGUUGUAAACCUCUUUCAGCGGGGACGAAGCGAAAGUGACGGUACCCGCAGAAGAAGCACCGGCUAACUACGUGCCAGCAGCCGCGGUAAUACGUAGGGUGCAAGCAUUGUCCGGAUUUAUUGGGCGUAAAGAGCCCGUAGGCGGCUUGUCACGUCGGGUGUGAAAACUUGGGGCUCAACCCCAAGCCUGCACUCGAUACGGGCUAGCUAGAGUGUUGCAGGGGAGACUGGAAUUCCUGGUGUAGCGGUGAAAUGCGCAGAUAUCAGGAGGAACACCGGUGGCGAAGGCGGGUCUCUGGGCAACUACUGACGCUGAGGAGCGAAAGCGUGGGGAGCGAACAGGAUUAGAUACCCUGGUAGUCCACGCCGUAAACGGUGGGCGCUAGGUGUGGGGAACCUUCCACGUUCUCUGUGCCGCAGCUACGCAUAGCGCCCGCCGUCGGGAGGUACGGCCGCGAACGGACGUAAACGUACGAAAGGUAAAGUUAGUACGGCGUUGAGACGUUGCCGACGGCGACGACGAGGGAGGAGG
rnacentral:rRNA from 1 species